UACCAGGGGGAGCCCAACGGGAUCCAAGGAGUUACAAUGUGUGGGAGGAUCUAUGGUUACCAGCACAACGCAGGAAGCUGGGACGACAUGGGCUGCGACAACAAGGCGCCAUUCAUCUGUGAAACAAUGAGAAAAACCUACAUCACUACUCCAGAGCCCAUACCUAACCCCUGUAACAGCAAGCAGGGCUUUAAGCCAUUUGGCAAUAGCUGCUUUAAGUUUGUGACCAGCCCCAAAUCCUGGACUGAUGCCAGUAAGUACUGUAGCAACCAGGGGGCCUUCCUGGUCACCAUCUCCAGUGAGUUUGAGCAGGCCUUCAUCCGACUGAUGGUCGACGGAACCCAGACCUGGACCGGACUCAACGAUAUCAAGAGCUCCGGCACCUACACAUGGAUGAACACCGUGUGGCCGGUGAUCUACACAUCCUGGGGGGCAGGGGCAGCCCUAGCGUGAGUGCCGGGGCCUGUGUCAGUGUCAACAGCACCACCGGUAAAUGGCAGACCACCAACUGUACCCAGAGUCUGGCCUUUGUCUGUAAAAUCACCUCAGACAACCCUCCUGUGACUCCCCCGGCACCCAACAACCAGUGCUAUGGAUCUGAUUGGAUACUGAACGGCAGCAAGUGCUUGCUCUUCCGUCCAAAUGAUUUCAAGACGUACCUGGAUGCCACCCUGGAGUGCCAGCUCCACCACGCCUCACUGGUGUCUAUCCACAGCAUAUACCAGAACCAGUUUCUGCUACAAACCAUCAAGGCUAAAUACUCAGUACAGAUAGAGUCAAUCUGGGUCGGACUUCACAAAUCCUCCACGUAUGGGUUUGGGUGGUCUGAUAAGAGUCCUACUAACUUCUUAAACUGGGACCAGAACCAGCCGUCGUCACAUGACCAGUGGGGAAACGAUGAGAACUGUGCAGAGAUUUACACUUGGAAUGGAAAGUGGAAUGACCAGGAUUGCACUCAGAAACGCGGCUACAUUUGUCAGAGAAACCCAGUGGCGGAUGUGAACCCCCAGACAUUGCCCCCCGGAAGUAACUUCUCCUUCCCCUCCCCCAGUGGACCCAUAUUGCCACCCUCCCCUCCAAUUAUGUCCACCCCCAGGCUAGGCAGUACCCAGGGAGCCAGCACCACCAACAGGCCAGGAGGCACCACUUUUACUGCCCCUCCUAUCCAAACUCCGAGGGCGUAUACAGGACCUAGUCAAGCAGGAGCAUCUAAAGGCAGUGGUGGAUCCAAAGCUCUAAGUGGCGGCGGUAUUGCGGGGAUCUUGAUUGCGGCGAUUAUUGUCACCAUUGCUGUGAUAGCCAUGCUGGUCAUUUUCAAAAGGAGGCAGAAUGGCGGGGGAGCAGCUCUCGGCUUCGAGAAUACCACAUACAGUUACAAUUCAGAACAGGACAAUGGGAAGCUACAUCUAAACAGUCAUGAAACCGAGUCAUAGACUCAAAGUUUGUGUCCAACAUGGACGCAGCGACUGAAGACUCUUUGUUGUUACGGCAACUGGACUGUGACAAAAGGAUUAUUACUUGUCAUUUUUUUCAUUGUUCACUAUAAAUACUAAGUAUUUAACAAUUAUUAUUUAACAAAGGUGCAAUAUAUUUAUCAUAACUUCCCAAGAACUGUACAUAAUUAAUAAACUAAGUGAUGUGU
rnacentral:misc_RNA from 1 species